UACGUAGGGACCGAGCGUUGUCCGGAUUCAUUGGGCGUAAAGAGCUCGUAGGCGGCUGUUCAAGUCGAACGUGAAAACUCGGGGCUCAACUCCGAGCCUGCGUUCGAUACUGGAUGGCUAGAGUCUGGUAGGGGGAUCUGGAAUUCCUGGUGUAGCGGUGGAAUGCGCAGAUAUCAGGAGGAACACCUGCGGUGUAGACGGCUUUCUGGACCAUAACUGACGCUGAGAUACGAAAGCGUGGGUAGCAAACAGG
rnacentral:rRNA from 1 species